UACCCAGUGGCUGAUGUAAUAGUGUAGGUCUUUUAAACCUGAGAUAGUAAAGGAUUACUCUGGGUUG
rnacentral:tRNA from 1 species